UUUAUGGAGAGUUUGAUCCUGGCUCAGGAUGAACGCUGGCGGCGUGCCUAAUACAUGCAAGUCGAGCGAACGGACGAGAAGCUUGCUUCUCUGAUGUUAGCGGCGGACGGGUGAGUAACACGUGGAUAACCUACCUAUAAGACUGGGAUAACUUCGGGAAACCGUAGCUAAUACCGGAUAAUAUUUUGAACCGCAUGGUUCAAAAGUGAAAGACGGUCUUGCUGUCACUUAUAGAUGGAUCCGCGCUGCAUUAGCUAGUUGGUAAGGUAACGGCUUACCAAGGCAACGAUGCAUAGCCGACCUGAGAGGGUGAUCGGCCACACUGGAACUGAGACACGGUCCAGACUCCUACGGGAGGCAGCAGUAGGGAAUCUUCCGCAAUGGGCGAAAGCCUGACGGAGCAACGCCGCGUGAGUGAUGAAGGUCUUCGGAUCGUAAAACUCUGUUAUUAGGGAAGAACAUAUGUGUAAGUAACUGUGCACAUCUUGACGGUACCUAAUCAGAAAGCCACGGCUAACUACGUGCCAGCAGCCGCGGUAAUACGUAGGUGGCAAGCGUUAUCCGGAAUUAUUGGGCGUAAAGCGCGCGUAGGCGGUUUUUUAAGUCUGAUGUGAAAGCCCACGGCUCAACCGUGGAGGGUCAUUGGAAACUGGAAAACUUGAGUGCAGAAGAGGAAAGUGGAAUUCCAUGUGUAGCGGUGAAAUGCGCAGAGAUAUGGAGGAACACCAGUGGCGAAGGCGACUUUCUGGCCUGUAACUGACGCUGAUGUGCGAAAGCGUGGGGAUCAAACAGGAUUAGAUACCCUGGUAGUCCACGCCGUAAACGAUGAGUGCUAAGUGUUAGGGGGUUUCCGCCCCUUAGUGCUGCAGCUAACGCAUUAAGCACUCCGCCUGGGGAGUACGACCGCAAGGUUGAAACUCAAAGGAAUUGACGGGGACCCGCACAAGCGGUGGAGCAUGUGGUUUAAUUCGAAGCAACGCGAAGAACCUUACCAAAUCUUGACAUCCUUUGACAACUCUAGAGAUAGAGCCUUCCCCUUCGGGGGACAAAGUGACAGGUGGUGCAUGGUUGUCGUCAGCUCGUGUCGUGAGAUGUUGGGUUAAGUCCCGCAACGAGCGCAACCCUUAAGCUUAGUUGCCAUCAUUAAGUUGGGCACUCUAAGUUGACUGCCGGUGACAAACCGGAGGAAGGUGGGGAUGACGUCAAAUCAUCAUGCCCCUUAUGAUUUGGGCUACACACGUGCUACAAUGGACAAUACAAAGGGCAGCGAAACCGCGAGGUCAAGCAAAUCCCAUAAAGUUGUUCUCAGUUCGGAUUGUAGUCUGCAACUCGACUACAUGAAGCUGGAAUCGCUAGUAAUCGUAGAUCAGCAUGCUACGGUGAAUACGUUCCCGGGUCUUGUACACACCGCCCGUCACACCACGAGAGUUUGUAACACCCGAAGCCGGUGGAGUAACCUUUUAGGAGCUAGCCGUCGAAGGUGGGACAAAUGAUUGGGGUGAAGUCGUAACAAGGUAGCCGUAUCGGAAGGUGCGGCUGGAUCACCUCCUUUCU
rnacentral:rRNA from 1 species